ensembl:lncRNA
AACCUUAAAAGCUAUAUUGUUCAAAUACUAAUACUGACACUUGUUAGAAACUGAGAUAUUGGUUUCAUUGUUUUAAUCGUCUUCUCCUGCUGUAACACUUCAUUUGCAGAUAUUACAACACAAACAGAAACACAGGCAGAUCAUGUGUCUUUCCAGACCUCAGAAUGUCCUGGUCUUGAAGGGGAAUGUGAGCAGGAAAGUCGAAACUGUACACCUACCUGUCAGAGGUGUUGUCCAUCUCUGGGAGUCACAGACAUGCUACAGGAAAGGUGAGUGUCACUAAAUUUUCAUAUUUUUUCUCACAUUUUUGUUGAGGCUGCCCUGCCGCUAUAUUACAUUUGGCAUCGAGAGUGCUGAAAGUGUAUUGUACAGUAUAAGACCUUAAAUUUUUUUUCUGAAUGAGCUAAAACCUCACAAAAGUGUCAGUUUAUUCAUAAGUCUGCAACGUGUUGUGACUGAUCAUAAACCAGGUCAAAAGGACUGAAUUUCAUUGCAGUUUUUGUUUUGUUUCUGUUUGUUUGUUUUAACAUAGCUCUCAAAAGGAAUCGCCACAGGGAGGCACUAAAGAGUCAUUAAUGAAAUACAGGUCCAAUAAUCACAGUUUUGGCUUCUAGUUAGGCUGGCCUGCAAGCCACACGUGUUAUAGUACGUAGCACUUGCAAUUAGCAGCUUUUUUACAUUUUAGGUGGAAAAAUCGCAGGAAAAUCAGCCUUGCAUGAUAACAGGCCCCGGAACGUAGCAAUGUGGUCAAGGUCUCUGCUCAUUCCUGCCCCGUACCCCCUUCAGGACAGACCCCCAGAAGCAGCAUCUAGAAAAAUCUGCCAUGAAAACAGAGCAUAGCCAGUCAGACGGCUGGAGCAGUGAUGAAGUAGAGGAUGGUGAUGAUGACGACAAUGCUUCUCAGCCAUUGCUUCCCGAGACCGUUCGUUAUACAGGUAAAUGAAAUUACAUUAUCUCCAUAUCUCAUAUUUUUCACCAUCUGUGUAAUUCUAAAGUGGCUUGUGUAGAUCCUGAAAUCACCUGAAAAGACUUUAUUAUAUUAAGGUCGACCGAUUGUGUCAGAAGAGGAGCUUGCUAGACUUGCAGUGAUAUCCCCAUCUAAGAAUGGGCAGUACUCUGGCUCUAGGGUCAAAGCCCUCAUACACGCCCUUGAACAGUUAGAAAAACAAGAUCUGAUCAAAGAGUUUAUGGUAGGUUCCCGUUUGUUGACAUCAAUACAAACCACUAUAUUUUAUUGCUUAUUAAUACAACCACAUUUUUUAAUGUAUUAAUAUUUUUCAUAUAAAUCUGUAGUUGAUCUCUUUAAUACUAAUAUAGUGUCUACAAUACACAUCGAAGUAUUUGACGAAUGCUAAUUUAAGUGUGAACAUGUGUGACUCUUUUUUUAAUAGGCUUUAGAGCAUUUGAAACCUUCAGACAACUGCCUGGUUGGAAAAGCACAUGAAAACCGGAAGAAGAACAGAUACAGAGAUAUCCUGCCCUGUAAGUUCCUCUGCUUCUCCUAUAAUCCACCACAAACCUAGUUAGAAUUUUUAUUGCCGUUUUAUAGUUUGCAAGCCUCAGUUCUCAUAAAACAGAUUUUUGGGUGUACAUUUUCACACCAUUUUGCAACCACAUGGACCACACACUGUACAUUGCCAGGAAACUCUAAUUUAUAAUAUAAAUAAAAAAUGAAUGCAGAUUUUUUACA